rnacentral:rRNA from 1 species
UACAGAGGGUGCGAGCGUUAAUCGGAAUUACUGGGCGUAAAGGGUGCGUAGGUGGUUUAAUAAGUCAGAUGUGAAAUCCCCGGGCUCAACCUGGGAACUGCAUUUGAAACUAUUAGACUAGAGUACGGUAGAGGGAAGUGGAAUUUCCGGUGUAGCGGUGAAAUGCGUAGAUAUCGGAAGGAACAUCAGUGGCGAAGGCGACUUCCUGGACCGCAACUGACACUGAGGCACGAAAGCGUGGGGAGCAAACAGG